rnacentral:lncRNA from 1 species
CAGUCAGACUGACAAAGAUGUCCUCCCACACAAAAAAGGCCCAAGACCCAAGCGAGUAAAACUACAAGAUUCAGCAACAGAUGACACUGGAGAUGGCUCGGACCUGGAGCUGGAAAGUCCUCCUUGCCGACGGAAGUCAGUCAGUCACAUCGACCAGGGCCUGUGUGGCUCAACCACGACAACCACCACAAA